CUACACAUGCAGUCGAGCGGAUGAARGGAGCUUGCUCCUGGAUUCAGCGGCGGACGGGUGAGUAAUGCCUAGGAAUCUGCCUGGUAGUGGGGGACAACGUUUCGAAAGGAACGCUAAUACCGCAUACGUCCUACGGGAGAAAGCAGGGGACCUUCGGGCCUUGCGCUAUCAGAUGAGCCUAGGUCGGAUUAGCUWGUUGGUGAGGUAAUGGCUCACCAAGGCGACGAUCCGUAACUGGUCUGAGAGGAUGAUCAGUCACACUGGAACUGAGACACGGUCCAGACUCCUACGGGAGGCAGCAGUGGGGAAUAUUGGACAAUGGGCGAAAGCCUGAUCCAGCCAUGCCGCGUGUGUGAAGAAGGUCUUCGGAUUGUAAAGCACUUUAAGUUGGGAGGAAGGGUUGUAGAUUAAUACUCUGCAAUUUUGACGUUACCGACAGAAUAAGCACCGGCUAACUCUGUGCCAGCAGCCGCGGUAAUACAGAGGGUGCAAGCGUUAAUCGGAAUUACUGGGCGUAAAGCGCGCGUAGGUGGUUUGUUAAGUUGGAUGUGAAAUCCCCGGGCUCAACCUGGGAACUGCAUCCAAAACUGGCAAGCUAGAGUAUGGUAGAGGGUGGUGGAAUUUCCUGUGUAGCGGUGAAAUGCGUAGAUAUAGGAAGGAACACCAGUGGCGAAGGCGACCACCUGGACUGAUACUGACACUGAGGUGCGAAAGCGUGGGGAGCAAACAGGAUUAGAUACCCUGGUAGUCCACGCCGUAAACGAUGUCAACUAGCCGUUGGGAGCCUUGAGCUCUUAGUGGCGCAGCUAACGCAUUAAGUUGACCGCCUGGGGAGUACGGCCGCAAGGUUAAAACUCAAAUGAAUUGACGGGGGCCCGCACAAGCGGKGAAGCAUGUGGUUUAAUUCGAAGCAACGCGAAGAACCUUACCAGGCCUUGACAUCCAAUGAACUUUCCAGAGAUGGAUUGGUGCCUUCGGGAACAUUGAGACAGGUGCUGCAUGGCUGUCGUCAGCUCGUGUCGUGAGAGUUUGGGUAAAGUCCCGUAACGAGCGCAAUCCUGUCUAGUACAGCACGUAUGUGGUACUCUAGGAGACUGCCGGUGACAA
rnacentral:rRNA from 1 species